rnacentral:rRNA from 1 species
UGGAGGCAGCAGUGGGGAAUAUUGCGCAAUGGAGGAAACUCUGACGCAGCAACGCCGCGUGGGUGAAGAAGGCUUUCGGGUUGUAAAGCCCUGUCAGGUGGGAAGAACCUUUUGCAGGUGAAUAGUCUGCAGAACUGACGGUACCACCAAAGGGAGCACCGGCUAACUCCGUGCCAGCAGCCGCGGUAAGACGGAGGGUGCAAGCGUUGUUCGGAAUCACUGGGCGUAAAGCGCGUGUAGGCGGUUCGAUAAGUCGAAUGUGAAAGCCCGAGGCUCAACCUCGGAAGUGCAUUCGAAACUGUCGGGCUUGAGUACGGGAGAGGGAAGUGGAAUUCCUGGUGUAGAGGUGAAAUUCGUAGAUAUCAGGAGGAACACCGGUGGCGAAGGCGGCUUCCUGGACCGAUACUGACGCUGAGACGCGAAAGCGUGGGGAGCAAACAGGAUUAGAUACCCGGGUAC